CUGGCUGACGAGGUUGGGCUGAGCAGAGGGGAAAUUAAGUGACACAGUUGGGGCGGAACUUAAUAAUCUCCACCCCCUGCCGAGGCUCCAACGUUAUAUCUAUCCCUCCUUGUUCUAGCGGGCAGCAGGAAGCACAGCACCGCCAGUAACCACGCAGACAUCCUGGAGAGCCGAGGAUCUUACUAUACAAAAGUGCCACCAUGCCUGAUUUUAUGAUCUGCUGGCAAUGGGACCUAGGGCAUCAUGAUGCCAGGUGACCACUCUACCAGUGGAACUGUUUUUUCAGCCCUCAAGUACUAUUAUCUUUGUGCUUUCAGCCUUGAAGGACAAUGAGAUAGAUUGGGUAUUACUGCUUUGUUUGUUUGUUGUUUGUUUGUUUUGUUGCUGUUGAUUAAAGGCAGGCAUGUGCUACCACAGCCCAGGAAUUACUGGUUUUUAAGUAGACCCACCUUGAAUGAUUGACAUGCCUAUCUGUAGAGCGGAGCAGGUGGCCCAAAGUGAGGGAGACAGGUACAAGUGCAGGCAGAGUAGACAGACUUGCACCUUGUUUAUAGUUAUCCUGUGGGGCCAAAUGAGUGUCCAGUAGUUUUUGAUCUUACUGUUUUUAGCAAACUCCUAAAUGUGUUUUAUCACUAUCUACUAUAAGCUUUAAUUUUUCAAAACCCACUUUUAAUGACAGUUCUUAAACGCUUUAACCUCCCUUCUAGUCCGCCACCUACCAGAGGGAGUGGAAAAGAAAGGAUACAGGGGAAGCGGACCUGUUUAGAAAUUGUUCUGUGGAGCAGAUCCCAUCUGUGUGGUCAGGAAAUCAGCAGUUUGAUUUGCAGGUCAGCAACAGCAGCUCAAUCCAUUUGCAAACACUUCAUGGAUACACUUAGCAGUCCAGGUUGGGAGAGUCUGGAUAGCAAACAGGAAUCAGCAGCAGUGGCACGACCAAGCAGAGACAGCCAGGCCUCAGCCAAAUCAGCACAAGUCAGCAAGAAGGACCAGGACCAACAGGGAUGCCAGGAGUUCUUUACUGUGCCUCUCUCAGUGAAGCAAAGAUCAGCGAAGAUGAGAGACCAGGAAGCAUAUUGCAGGGCUAGCUCUACAGCAAGCCCCUCUCACAGUCCUUUUUAUAUUCCCCUGAAACAUCUCGUGCUCUCCACUGGUCUUGCCUCACCAUGUGCCUUGCCUCAGCAUGUGAGUCCGUCUUAGCAAAACUCCACGUGAGUCUCUAUCAGCUGACAUCACUCUGCCUGCUGGCCCGAGUCCUCAGAAGCAGCAAGAAACUGCAGCACACCACCAGAAGCUUUUUUGGUGUAUUUCUCUUUAUGGAGUCCCAACAAAUGGAGCUUGACUACACAAUGUAAGGGGGACAAAUGCUUGCGUGUUGUUAAUGAAGAACCCUUCAUCUGUGUCCUUUCAUGUGCUCGCUUUAGCAGAACAUCCUCUCAUCUGUGUCUACUUCAGGGAAACACUCCACAUGUUUGCCCCAGCAAAACACCGUCCAACACAACUGACUUUCCGAAGAACCCUUAGGUUUCCACUUCAGUCUACAAUAAAAAGAAGAAUCAGAAACCACCCAGAAAUGCAUCCCAUAAAAUAUGCGCCAGGCCAUUAGAAAACUACAAAAAUACCCAAUAUCUUAAAUAACCCAAAGACACACUUCUUUCCCCAGAAGUGAUCUAUAAAUGCAAUAAAAAUAUCUAUAUUUAUUUUCAUCUAUAAAUUCCAAAUAAAAUGUCAACAGGGUCUUAAAAAAAAUACAACUCCUCUACAGGCAGGGCUGGAUGACAAGAUGUGGGACAUAAAACCAUGCCAGGAAGUUUGGUGAGGUAGAGCGGGUUGAGACCCAGAGGCUCGAUGAGCACACCCCUGAGGCUCAGGUGACUCCCAGCUCCUUGCCAGACUCCUGACUUGGAACACGAGACCUGCUCCUCACAUGAAAGAAACGUGCCCUAUGGUCACGUAGGCUCAAGACAGGGUUCUCCGUGCUAACGAGGUACCUAGAGACCCAGAAGGCUCAGCCAAUAAGCUUCCCUUGCCAGACAUUCCAACCCACAAAAGGUAUUUAAUCUUAGACCCACCCUAAGAGGUGAAGUAUGGUUUUACAAAUCCAUUUUCCACCAUGACAGUAAACUGCUUGGAACCACGGGCUCUCUUUUCAUCAGAUCUGCAGUGGGGAGCCAUGAAGAAGGCAUUUGACUACAGAGCUGCAGCCUAAUCUCCUGUAGGAGGCCUCUAGUGCUCCCAGCCACAACUGCCACCAAGCCUGCUGCUGCCACGAUAAGACAAUCACCCAUGGGACAAGCUGGAGCUCCCCUUGUUCCCCUGCCCAGGCUAGACACUGUCCCCAGCCCCCGACUCUAUUCUCUACUCUUCUGGGACUCCCAGCCAUGCCUAGAUGGGUGGGAGUCUGAGAACCCCAUGGCCCCAACCUUGCUGCAAGCCCAGGGACCCCCAACCAGUUCCAGCUUUCAAGCUUUCUUACUCCUUGAUUGGUAUCUCUGCCCUUCCCUAUAGCUUAGUACCCACCCCAGCAGCUGCGUGGGGUAAGUGCAGUCAAACUCCCUAUGCCACGCACAGUGGCAGAACAGACACGGGCCAACACCCCUACAACAUGACAUCCCAGAAGUUCCUGCUUUCAGACAUGGCGUCUGAGGAUGCUUGCCUCAGAGUACAACAGCAGGUAUAAUGUCAAAGCUAAGAUCUUUCUCAAGGAGGACCCUCCCAAGUCUGCCCACCUCAUAGUCUUUCUGAGCUAACAAGCUGGGAUGGCCUACUUUGUGUGGGAAGUUAGCAGGCCAGGACCCAGGUGGACAAGGGAGUUGUGGAGGCUGAGGGCACUUUGGAAGCGCCUCUGUGGUGGCUGCAGGCAUGUGCGCUGUGCAGCGCUCCUCACCCUAAGAACGCCCAAACCGUCUCUGCCAAGCGUGUCAGCAGCAAAUUCAAAGGGCACUUCCGUAAGAUCUGGUCACCCACAGUAUCACUCACACCGAUGUGUGCCUGCUUCUUGUCCUGCCUGGAGGGGAGUAAGAUAAAGAGGGUGCUCUGGCUUAGAAAACCUAGACUUGACCUGGAGAGACGGCAGCCACCGAGUCUCCAUGGACAAGGUGUUCCCAAAGGAUGCAAUGGUUGAUGGCAUCAGGCUGACCAAGAGCAAAGAGGUCACCAGUUACUGACACACCAAGGGUCGGGCAAAGUUACCUGUGUUGGAGGCUGGCACCCUGCCCUGGUGGCCUUCUCUAGCAGGAGCUGAACAGAAAGGCUCCCAUGACCUAUCUGAUAAUAGCAUCAACCAAGGCAGCUUUGUCUAUUAUGGCAAAGUGACAGAUGUCUUUGUCAUGCCAAAAGCUGUAUGGUGGGGGCCAGGAAAUGCCUGUGUACCCUUAUGCAAGUCCUUAAUGGUGUAGAUCAAAUCAAUUGCAGGCUCUGUAGAAGAUCCACCCCAAGUUUAUCAACACCAAGUUGGACUACAGUCACUUCUAGCAUCAUAGAGAAGAUACCAUUCAUGGAAUACGAACUACAGGCAGGACUAAAUGGGCUGAAGAUAGGGCAUUUGAUGGUGUUUGCCAUACAAGUGCGAGGACUGGGUUUGAACCCCUCGAGCCCAUGCUAAGCUUGGUGAACUGGUCUAUAACACCAGUGUUCCUACAGAGAGAUGGACACAAGGGACUCCCUGGAGGCUCCAGGCCAGCCAGCCCGUCAUACCCAGUGGCAAACAGCAAAGAGGCCCUGUAUCAAGCAGGUGAAAGGUAAGGAUCAAUAUCCGAGGCUGUUCUCUGACCUCCAGGCACACCACGAAAAGCACAUGUGCACAUUCACAUACAUAAGUGUUUAGGCACACACAUAGAUAAGAUUAUUUUAAAAGAGAGAGAAGGAGGGAAGGAAAGAGGGAGGGAGGGAGCCAGGGAAGCAAGUAUUUAAUGUCAGCAUGAUACACAGGUGGCAGAGACUCCGUUUUUAUUCCUCCCAGCAAGGGGAAUAAAAGAAUACCCAACUUUAGACAUAAUUCACAUGUCAUAUGAUUCACUAUAGAAAAUAUGCAACAGUGGUUCUUCACCAUGAUUUUCUCCCAACCUGAAAAAAAUUCUAAAAAUGUCUGUGCAGUGUAGACAGCUUAAAAUAGGUUGGCUCCCACUGAGGCUAAAACCAUGUGUGGCAGUGUUCCCAGACAAGGGAGAAUGGGAAGCCAUCUAUGGGGGCCUGGGCAGGAGGCACUAAAUAAAAUCAGCAGGGAGAGAGGGAAUCACUGGAAAGCAGCGCUUAUGUACAGCUACAGCAGUUAAGGUAGAAACAUUUCAGAUAUUGAUCCGUGGUGGGACUGGGGAGAGGAUUCAGAACUUGAUGCUCUUGCAGAGAACCCAGGUUCAAACCCAGAACCCACACAGAGCCUCACAACUAUUGUUUUGGUUCCGGGAGAUCUACUGCCCUCUUCUGUCUCCUACUGGUACUACACACAUGUAAUCCACAUAAAUGCAUGCAGGCAAACCUCGCAUACAAGUAACACAUACAAUUUUAAAGAAUGAUAUUAUUUUUAAAAGUUGACCAGUUGGGGAAAGUGAAAGUGCUGAUGCAGUCCGGCUCACUCUUGGAGAGCUGGAGGAGUCCCCGUCCUUGUUUUUCUCCUAACCACUCUGGGUAGCUGAUACUUUCUGGGUGCUUUGUCCUGUAGACUUAUGCUUCUGAUUUCAUGAAGCCACCCCUCAUCAAGUUGCUAGUCAUUAUGGUUGGGACAUAACCUAAUCCACAACUCAUCAGACAUGGUCUAAAGGAAGCCACCCUUGUUGUUGAUGUUAUUUGUUUAUUUGUAUUUUUUUUUUGAGACAAGAUCUCAUGUAGCCCAGGCUAUACCCAAAGUCACCAUGUAGCUGAGACCAACCUUGAAUGACCGAUCACAUUGUCUGCCCCUCCAAAAUACUGGGAUUAUUGUCAUCACACUCACUUCAGAGGCCUUGUGGGCCUCCUAUUACUGGGAUAAAACACAGGCCAAAAUAUGCUUGAGGAGGAAAGGAGUGAUUUCAUCUUACUGUCCAUCACUAAGGGAAGCCAAAGCAGGACCUGAGGGAGUGGUGAAUGUUUCUUACUGAUGUGUUCCCCAUGCUUUGCUCAGUUUGCUUUCUUAUAUGUUCCAGGAAUAUCUGCCCAGGGAUGGCAUUACCCACAGUGAUCCGGGCCCUCACAUGUUAACUAUCAAUCAAGAAAAUGUCCUUACAGACAUGCCCAUAGGCCAAUCUGACAGAGGCAGUUCCUCAGCUGAGGUUCCUUCCUUCUUGAUGAUCCAGCUUGUAUCAAGUUGACAAGAGAAAUAACAAAUAACUCAGAAACAAGCAUACAGUUCAAUCCAGUGAAGCAUCUGUGGUCAAUAAUGAUAAAAAAAAAAAAAAGAUGCCCAGCAUCUUGAGGGAACUAGUAAAUGCAAAUAGAGUUCCCGGAAAGGGAGCUUGAAAAAUCUGCGUGGUCAGUCACAGAUGACUACAGAGCGUGUUUGGCUGGUUGGGCAAGGCAUUGGGGUGAGAAGUGGCUUCACCUAUCUGACCUACCUACACUUUGGUGCAGUUAUAGAUCUGGCCCAGCAAUCCCACUCCUAUGUUUAAGCUUCAGAGAACUUUUGAUGUAACUGUUCAGGAGAUGUGUGCAAAGGAUUUUAGGCUGCAAUGUUUUUAGUUAAAAAAAAACAACAACAACAAGGGGCUGUGCCUUCCUCCUGGACAGACCAUCAGCAUGAUUACUCCCCUGAAGACCCCACAGUCUGAAGGUCCCCCAGGAGGUGUGUUACAACCAGGGCCACAGAACCCACAAUCUGAAGGCAUCUCAGGUCUGCUACAGCCAGUACCAUACGCCUCCUAUAAGACCCGCAGCAACCAAGGGACACAGGAGGCAGGCUCCAGACAGAGACACCCAGAACAGUUAUAACCAGAAAUAAUCAGAUGGUAAGAGGCAAAUGCAAGACCAUAAACAACAGAAGCCAAUAUAUUCUAAUACCAUAAGAACCCAAUUUCACCACCACAGCAAGCCCUGGAUAUACCAGCACACCUGAAAACCAGGAUGCUGACCUAGAAUCCUAUCUCAUGAAGAAAAUAGAGUCCUUUAAGGAGGAUAUAAAUAACUCAAUGAAAGAAAUACAGGAAAACAGGUAGAAGCCCUUAAAGAGGAAACAAAUAAAAAUCCCUUAAAGAAAUACAGGAAAACACAAUCAACAGGUGAAUGAAUUGAAUAAAGUGGUCCAAGACCUAAAAAUGAAAGUAGAAGCAAUAAAGAAAACACAAAUGGAGGCAAACCAGGAAAUGGAAAACCUAGGAAAGAGGUUAGGAAUUACAGAUGUAAGCAUCGCCAACAGAAUACAAAAGAUAGAAGAGAGAACUCAGGCAUAGAAGAUACCUUAGAAGAUAUUGAUACAAUGGUCAAAGAAAAUUCAAAAUAGAAAAAGCUCCUAACCCAAAACAUCCAGGAAAUCCAGGACACAAUGAAAAAGAAAAACAUAAGAAUAAUAGGGAUAGAAGAGAGCAAAGAUACCCAGCUCAAAGGACCUGAAAACAUCUUCAACAAAAUCAUAGAAGAAAACCUCCCCAACAUAAAGAGAUGGCCAUAAGUGUACAAGAAGCCUAUAGAACACCAAAUAGAUUGUACCAGAAAAGAAAAUCUCAUCAUAUAAUAUCAAAACACCAAAUGCACAGAACAAAGAAAAAUUUUAAAAGCUGUAAGGGAAAAAGGCCAAGUAAUAUAUUAAGAUAGAUCUAUCAGAAUUGCACCAGGCUUCUCAGCAGAGACUCUAAAAGCCAGAAGAUCCUGGGCAGAUGUCAUACAGACCCUAAGAGAACAAAAAUGCCAGCCCAGGCUACUAUACCCUGCAAAACUCUCAAUCAUCAUAGAUGGGGAAACCAAAAUAUUCCAUGGCAAAACCAAAUUUACACAAUAUCUCUACACAAAUCCAACCCUACAGAGGAUUCUAGAAGGAAAACUCCAACAUAAUGAGGGUACCUACACAAAAGAAAAAACAAGAUAUUAACCAUCUCACAACAAAACCAAAAGGAGAGAAUCACAUAUACCUAAUGCUAACUACAACAACAAAUAUAACAGGAGCUAACACUCAUCUGUCUUUAGUAUCUCUCAAUAUCAAUGGGCUCAAUUCCCCCCAAUAAAAUGACAUAAGCUAACAGACUGGAUACACAAGCAGGAUCCAACAUUUUGCUGCAUACAAGAAGUAUACCUCAAUGACAAAGACAGACAUUACCUCAGAGUUAAAGGCUUGAAAUAAAGUCUUCCAAGAAAAAAAGCAGGAGUUGCCAUCCUAAUAUCCAAUAAAAUAGGUUUUCAACCAAAAGUUAUCAAGCAUGAUGGGGAAGGACACUUCAUAUCCAUCAAAGGAAAAAUCCACCAAGAGAAAGUCUUAAUUCUGAACAUCUAUGCCCUAAAUGCAAGGGCACUCACAUUCAUGAAAAAAACUUUACUAAAGUUUAAAACACACAUGGAACCCCACACAAUAAUAGUGGGAGACUUCAACAACCCACUCCAACCAGUGGACAGAUAAUUGAAACAGAAACUAAACAGACAUUAAACAGAAACUAAUAGAGGUUAUAAACCAAAUAGAUUUAACAGAUUUGUAUAUAGAGAAUAUUUCACCAUAAAACAAAAGAAUAUACCUUCUUCUCGCACAUCAUGGUACCUUUUCCAAAACUGACUAUAUAAUCUGUCACAAAACACGCCUCAACAGAUACAAGACGAUGGAAAUAAUCCCAUGAAUCUUGUCAGAUCUCCACAGACUAGGCUAGACUUCAACAACAACAAAAACAACAGAAAACCCACAUACGCAUUGAAACUGAUCAACUCUCUACUCCAUGAUAAUUUGGUCAGGGAAGAAAUAAAGAAAGAAAUUAAAGUCUUUUUAUAAUUCAAUGAAAAUGAAGGUACAACAUACCCAAACUUAUGGGAUACAAUGAAAACAGGGCUAAGAGGAAAAUUCAUAGUACUAAGUGCCCUCAUAAAGAAAUGGGAGAGAUCCUACUCUAACAACUUAACAGCAUACCUGAAAGCCCUAAAAGAAAAAGAAGCAAAUACACCCAAGAGGAAUAGAAGGAAGGAAAUAGUCAAACUCAGGGCAGAAACCAACCAAACAGAAACAAAGAGAACCAAACAAAGAAUCAACAAAACCAAAAGCUGAUUAUUUGAGAAAAUCAACAAAGUAGAUAAACUCUAGCCAAAUUAGCUAAAGAGCACAGAGACAGUUUCCAAAUUACUAAAAUCAUAAAGGAAUAGGGAGACAUAACAACAGAAACUGAGGAAAUUAAAAAAAAUCAUUAGAUCCCACUACAAAAGCCUAUACUCAACAAAACUGAAAAAUAUAGAUGAAAUGGAUGAUUUUCUAGACAGAUACCAUACGCCAAAGUUAAAUCAAGAGCAAGUAAAUUAUUUUAACAGGCCAUAACCUCUAAGGAAAUAGAAGUCACUAAAAACCCCCCAACUAAAAAAAGCUCAGGGUCAGAUGGAUUUAGUGCAGAAUUCUACCAGGACUUCAAAGAAGAGCUAAUACCAAUACUCUUCAAACUAUUCCAUAAAAUGGUAACAGAACUACCUAAUUCAUUCUAGGAUGCCACAAUUACUCUGAUGCCUAAACCACACAGAGAUCCAACAAAGAAGAGAACUUCAGAACAAUUUCAUUUAUGAAUAUCGACCCAAAAAUAAUCAAUAAAAUUCUAGCAAACCAAAUGCAAAAACACAUCAAAAUGAUCAUUCAUUAUGAUCAAGUAGGCUUCAGUCCAAGGAUGCAAGGGUGAUUCAAUAUACAAAAAUCUAUUAAUGUAGUCCACUAUAUAAACAAACUCAAAGAAAAGAAUCACAUGAUCAUCUCAUUAAAUGCUGAAAAAAGCUUUUGACAAAAUACAGCACCCCUUCAGGUUAAAAGUAUUGGAGAGAUCAGAAUUCAAGGCCCAUACCUAAACAUAAUAAAAGCAAUAUACAGCAAAUCAACAGCCAAUAUCAAAUUAAAUGGAGAGAUACUUGAAGCAAUCCUACUAAAGUCAGGGACAAGACAAGGAUGCCCACCCUCCCCAUAUCUAUUCAAUAUAAUACUCGAAGUUCUAGCCAGAGCAAUAAGACAACAAAAGGAGAUUAAGGGGAUACAAAUUGGCAAAGAAGAAGUCAAGGUAUCACUAUUUGCAGAUGGUAUAAUAGUGUACAUAAGUGACCCCCAAAGUUCUACCAGAGAAUUACUCCAGCUGAUGAACAACUUCAGCAAAGUGGCUGGAUAUAAAAUUAACUCAAACAAAUCAGUAGCCUUCCUCUAUACAAAUGAUAAAUGGGCUGAGAAAGAAAAUAGGGAAACAACACCCUUCACAAUAGUCACAAAUAAUAUAAAACAUCUUGGGUAACUCUAACCAAACAAUUUAAAGAUCUGUAUGACAAGAACUUCAAGUCUCUGAAGAAAGAAAUCGAAGAAGACCUCAGAAGAUGGAAAGAUUUCCCAUGCACAUGGAUUGGCAGGAUUAACAUAGUAAAAAUGGCCAUCUUACCAAAAGCAAUCUACAGAUUGAAUGCAAUCCCCAUCAAAAUUCUAACACAAUUCUUCAAAGACAAGGAAAGACCAAUUCUCAAUUUCAUAUGGAAAAAACAAAAAAACCCAGGAUAGCAAAAACAAUUCUUAACAAUAAAAGAACUUCAGGGGGAAUCACCAUCCCUGACCUCAAGCUAUACUACAGAGCAAUAGUGACAAAAACCAGCAUGGUGUUGGUAUAAAGACAGGCAGGUUGAUCAGUGGAAUAGAAUUGAAGAACCAGAAAUUAAUCCAUACACAUAUGGAGAGUUGAUCUUUGACAAAGAGGCCAAAACCAUGGAUAAAGGAAACCAUCUUUCAACAAAUGGUGCUAGUCUAACUGGAAGUCGGUAUGUAGAAAAAUGAAAAUAAAUCCAUGUGUCACCUUGCAUAAAGCUCAAGUCCAAGUAGAUCAAGAACCUUGACAUAAAACCAGAUACAUUGAAUCUAAUAAAGAGAAAGUGGGAAAGAGCUUCAAACUCAUGGGCACAUGGGCAGGGUAUUUCCUAAACAGAACUCCAAUGACUCAGGCUCUAAGAUCAAGAAUUGAUAAAUGGGACCUCAUGAAACUGAAAACCUUCUAUAAGGCAAAGGACACAGUCAAUAGGACAAGUUAGCACCCUACAUAUUGGGGGUAAAAACUUCACUAACCCCACAUCUGAUAGAGGGCAAAUAUCAAAUAUCCAAAAUAUAUUUAAAUAUCUAAAAGAACUCAAGAAGCUAACCUCCAAAAAAAAAAAAAACAAAAAAAAAAAAACAAAAAAACAACUCAAUCAAACAUUGGCUACAGAGCUAAACAGAAAAGUCACAACAGAGGAAACUUGAAUGACCAAGAGAGCACUUAAAGAAAUGUUCAAAGUCCUUAGUGAUCAGGGAAAUGCAAAUCGGAACAACCCUGAGAUGGUAACCUUACACCAAUCAGAAUGACUAAGAUCAAAAACUCAGGUGACAGCACUUGUUGGUGAGAAUGUGAAGAAAGAGGAACACUCCUCCAUUGCUGGUGGGAGUGCAAACUUGUACAACCACUUUGGAAGUCAAUCUGGAGGUUCCUUAGAAAAUUGGAAAUUGAUCUACCUGAAGACCCAGCUAUACCAUUCUUGGGAAUAUACCCAAAAGAUGUCCCACCAUGGGCAUCAUGCUCCACUAUGUUCAUAGUGGCCUUAUUUGUGAUAGUCAGUGAAAGGAAAAAGUUUAAAAUUGCCCCCUAGAUAAAAGUUGAAGCCAAAAGCAGGCCCUGCAACUGCCUGUUCCAGGAACUAGCUGAUCACAGAAAGAGUAAUUGCACCAGCUGGUCCAGCCACUUUGUUCCAGAAACUAGCUAACCAUAAUAGCAGCUGACCAUAAUACCAGCUGACCAUAGUAGCAGGAACUGGUUAACCAUAAAGUUAGAUUAAAAUCUUAAAGAACAAUCAUGAGAAACAGGAGGUUCUUCCUUGUGAUUCGGCAUGGUUUUUCCUUUAAAUACCCCUUCUUCCAGCCAUUCGGGGUCUAACUCUUCUACCCCUGUGUGGGGUAUGAGUCUUGACCCCAGUGCACUGGUUUCUGUCGUCCCUAUCAAUAAACCUCUUGUUGAUUGCAUCAAGAUCGGUCUCUCGUGAGUUCUUGGGGGGUUGCGUCAUCCCAAGACUUGAGUGAGGGUCUCCCCGCUCCAGGGGUCUUUCACCAGAAGCAAGAAACAACCUAGAUGUCCCACAACAGAAGAAUGGAUACAGAAAAUGAAGUUCAUUUACACAAUGGAAUACUAUUCAGCCAUUAAGAACGAGGACAUCAUGAGUUUUGUAGGCAAAUGAAUGGAACUAGAAAAUAUCAUCCUGAGUGAGCUAUCUCAGACCCAAAAGGAUGUGCAUGGUAUGUACUCACUAAUAAGUGGAUAUUAGCCAAAAAACACAGAAUAUCCAGAAUACAAUCCAUAGAACUCAAAAAGGUUAUCAAGCUAUGCGGCCCAAGUGAGGAUGCUUCAAUCCCACUAGGGAAGGAGAAGAAACCAAAGGGCAGAGAGAGGGAGGGAACUGGGUGGGAGAGGGGAGGGGCAGGAAGGGGAACCUGAUCAGGUAUUGGGGAUGGGGACAGGAGAGAAGCCCUGAGGGAACAGAAAGAUAGAUAGAAUGGAAAUAUACAGCCUUGGGAGGUAGGGUGGGCCCUCUAGAAUGUAUCAGAGACCCGGAAGUGAGAGAACCUCAAGACUCAAAAGGAAGGACCUGAGAUGAAAUGCCCAACAGUGGGGAGAGGGAACUUGUAGAAUCUACCUCCAGUAGAAAGACAGGGCGUCAAGUAGAGGGAUGGGGUUGCCAUCCCACAGUCAAAAACUCUGACUCAGAAUUGAAUUGUUCCUGUUUAAAAGAACCGCAGAGACAAAAAUGGCAAAGAGACUGAGUGAAAGAAGGUCCAGCAAACUGCAUGAACUGGGAUCCAACUCAAGGGGAGGUUCAAAGGCCUGAUUCUAUUACUGAUGCUAUGAUGUACUUACAGUCAGGAGCCUAGCAUGGCUGCCCUCCAAGAGGCCCAACUAGCAGCUGACUGAAACAGAAACAGAUACUUACAUCCAACCAAUGGACAGAAGCUGGGGAGCCCUAUGGUUGAAUUAGUGAACGUCUGGAAGAAGCUAAGGAGGAGGGUGACCCCAUAGGAAGACCAGCAGUCUCAAGAAUCCUGGAACCCCAAGAUCUCUCAGACACUGAGCCACCAACCAGGCAGCAUCUGGUCCAAGGCCCUCAACACAUACACAGCAGAAGACUUCCUGGUCUGGCCUCAAUGAUAGAAGACGCACCUAACCCUUCAGAGACUCGAGGCUCCAGGGAAUGGAGAGACCUGGCAGGGUAUGGGGGUGUGGAGGGUGUGGGGACAUCCUCUUGGAGGAAUGGGAUGAGGAACUGUUGGAGGGCAGAAAAGGAGGGGGAUAACGACUGGACUGUAAAGAAAGAUUAAAGAUAAUAAAAAAAAACAACAACAACA